GUACAUAGGUGGAAAUUAUUCUGAUUAUCCCCAUACACUUCUGAGGAGCAGAAUAAUGCCUUUGGACAAGAUCUGCUAAUAAUCAAAUUAUUUAGUUUAGAGUACUUUUUGUAGCUAUAGCUGUGUUUUUAGCAUUAAAGCUCUUUGGCGAAAUAAGAAUCUCUGGAUUGAACUAUGGGGUGCAACUCAAGUAAGAGUGUUCAGGUUGUGGACCCAUCUAAACAGCCUGAAGAUAGACCAGAAUCAGCUAACUCAACGAAUAAUGAAGAAGCGGACAACGACAAAGAAACCUCACAAACAGAGAGAGAUGAAAUCGAGACGGAAGACAGUUGAUAAUGUCCUUCACUUUGCAGAUUUCCUUCCUCAAGCUUCUAGGUUUCAGUUUGUAUCCAGUCCAGUGGUCAACUGCUGAAGUUCCUUGGAUCGUGUGAUGAGAUCUGCAUCGUUUUGUUACAUUUAUAUGAUGUCUCUGAUCUCUCCAUACAUAUCUGGUCAUAUCAUGUGAUCUCUAUCUAUCAUAACAACUCAUACCAAGAACAACCUUCUGUAUUUAUGAUGGGUCUUUGCAAAACCAUACUGUUCAAACUGUUGAGCUCACUGUACUUUAACUGUGAUGAUGCUAUUACCAGAAAAUGAUGUUUUUCUUUUAAUGUACUACUUAUCAGCUAUUCUUUAUAAUGUAAAUUUAUAUUCCUUAAGACAUAACAAAUGCACUGUUAUUGGCUUUAUCUCUUUCUCGCUAACACACACACACACACACACACACACACACACACACACACACACACACACACACACACACACACACACACACACACACACACACA